GGUAUUGAAAUUGGUUUAAGGGCUUUUAAAUUCUAGGAUUUUAAGUUCUUAUCUUAAUUCUUGCUUUUGAAUUGGGCUUCAAAAUAGUAAAAGCCCUGAAGAAAAGGUCAAAAAAAUACAGAAUAAAAAUCAAUUUUUCCUCUUUUAAUUUGGUUUUAAAUUUGUAUUAAGAGCUUUAAAAUUCUAGCAUUAUCAAAGCCUUUAAAAGGUACAAUUUUAAAAUGAAAAAAGAAGAAUAAUAAAUAAAAUUAUACGGUUUUAUUCUUUUUGCAUCUUCUGUUUUUUAAUGUCGUUUGCAACAUGUACAAAAUAACAACAAAAGAAUUGCAACAAAAGAGAGAGAGAGAGAGAAUGAAUUACCAUCUGUUUGGGAAACUUUGAGUAUUAACUAUUGAGUUAUUGAUGCUUGAUCUAUCUUCCACAGGUUUAAGUUGCAGAGAAGAGAGAGAGAAACGCGCCUUCAAAUUCAAGAGCAAGAGAGAAAGAAAGAUACAAAGCAAGAGAGAAAGAGAGAGAUGGGUAAACCAAAG
rnacentral:lncRNA from 1 species